rnacentral:misc_RNA from 1 species
GAUGAAGAACGCAGCGAAACGCGAUAUGUAAUGUGAAUUGCAGAAUUCAGUGAAUCAUCGAAUCUUUGAACGCACAUGGCGCCUUCCAGUAUCCUGGGAGGCAUGCCUGUCCGAGCGUCGUUUCAACCCUCGAGCCCCCGUGGCCCGGCGUUGGGGAUCUGCCACGGCAGGCCCCUAAAACCAGUGGCGGACCCGAAGGCCCUCUCCUUUGCGAAGUAGCAUCAGCCUCGCAUUGGGAUCCCUCGGCGUCCUGCCUCUAAACCCCCCACAAGUCCGCUCCGGCGGCACCAAGGUUGACCUCGGAUCAGGUAGGAAUACCCGCUGAACUUAAGCAUAUCAAUAAGCGGAGGA